UGGGUUUCGAUUCCCUUCAAA
rnacentral:piRNA from 1 species